UACGUAGGGGGCAAGCGUUGUCCGGAUUUAUUGGGCGUAAAGAGCGUGUAGGCGGCUUUACAGGUCCGUUGUGAAAACUCGAGGCUCAACCUCGAGACGCCGGUGGAAACCGUAAAGCUAGAGUCCGGAAGAGGAGAGUGGAAUUCCUGGUGUAGCGGUGGAAAUGCGCAGAUAUCAGGAGGAACACCCGUGGCGAAAGCGGCUCUCUGG
rnacentral:rRNA from 1 species